GUUGAUUAGGGCAUUUCAAUUUUAAUUUUUUGUUCGCGCAUGGUAAUGUCGACGCGUUGGAAAGUAACACGUAUCGCAAACAAGAACUGAUUAACGAGUAAGAUUUUGAUGAAACACAAAACAGUUGUAAGUUUUGACAGAAGUACGCAAGUUUGUUAAGGACUACACAAUAUUAAAGUGUUCGUGAAGCAUUAUAGCCAAAGGUUGAGACUGAAUUAAUUUUUCAAACGUUAUUUCAGGUGUACUUGCAUAUUGGUUUUGAUUGACAUUUUGGACUAAAUAUUGGUCACUGAAGGUAAGGAAUGUUUACCAAGCAGUCUCCACCUCCAAGUCCACCCAUUUCUCAAGACUUCAGUUCACCUCUUCCAGGACCAUCUCUAAAUAGAACAGAGAAAAAAAAUGCCACAGCAACAUUUAAAAGAUCAAAAUUUUUAAGACGGCUGGUUUACUUCAGACACAUGGACUUUGAAUUUGCAUUAUGGCAAAUGCUAUACCUUUUUAUUUCUCCACAGAAAGUGUAUAGAAACUUUCAAUACAGAAAAC